rnacentral:lncRNA from 1 species
CUCCAUUCUUGUGCAAAAUUCAAAUAAUUCCCCCCCCCCCUUCAGAGCAGCUGUGCAUGGUUUUUUAAGUCGGUCUUUAACGUUGCGAAAGGAACAAUAAAAUGAAAGGCAAAACCGGCAUCUUAAAACUUGGCAAGCAGCUUGGACUGGCAGCCAAGAAUCCUGCUGUGGUGCAAAAAGAAUAGCAUCCACGAAGGCACCGCAAUCCGGGGUUUCUCCUCUCUUAACAAUCGCAUCGGCAGAGAGAAAUAAUUAUUCCUUGUAUCAGUGUUAAAAGAGUCAAAAAGCUUAAAAUGCUUGCUUGGUGAACCUUCUCAGAAGCAGGUUACGUUUCUUGAAGAGUUGGGCCUAGCAAUAUGGCAGCGCACGUUCGAUAAGAAACCCCGUAAAGCGCUGCCCCUGAGGGCAUCAGAGGAGGAUAUUGAGAGUAAUCUGGACAUAGCAGCUUUCUUCCAAGGAUCUCAAAACACUCUAAGGACAUGCUUUUCUCUGCAACCUUCCUCUCACUCCAUUUCUAUGAGAACUCUUCCUGCAAAUUGGGUCCCUAAGAGGAUUAGUGAAGGGGAUACCAAUUUAUUUAUACCCACCUCAGCGUGGCAGCAGACAGACAUUGUAAGUUGCUGGAUUAUUAAAUGGUUUGUAACAUGUGAAAGAAGCUUCCUUCUUCUAGUGCAGUUCAGAGUGGACAGGUGUCUACAUCACAGCCACUCUGAACUGACCCCCAGCUCCUGCAUUUUUUUCUCUUCUUAACCUGUUCACGCUGGCAAUACAAAUGGACAUGCUGAGGAGACUAAGUGGACUACAGAGAUUCAGUCCCUUCAAGUGUGAGAUAGACUGCUGUAGGGAUACAUUAUUGCUAUGUUGUAGAUGCACAUUAUUGCUGUUCUCAGGGCAAAGAUGCCUUUGGUCACCACGGAAAAGUUUUCAGGCAUCUUUCCGUUGCACUUAGUACACUGGAAAAAAAAAAAAAUACAGAAUGAGGGAGAGAGAUAAGAAGCCAGGAGAAAACCCUCAAGCUUUCUCUGCUUACACUUCCGAUUCUGGAUAGCUACAGUGCCAAGCGAUAUUGCCAUUUCAGUCGUCUUCUACUGUGCCUGGCUUGAAUGAUCCCAAAGGAGCAAGCGGAGGUAAAUAUACGGCUAUGAUCAAAAGAGAGUAAAGCCUCUAUUAUUUGUGCCAGCCUACAGGCGCUUAGGUUUUGGAAUCUGAGUCUUUGAAAAACAAGGUUACUUGGAGCUCUAGUAAAUAAAGUGUCUGGAUGUUAGUGGUGAUUCA